GUUAGCUACCGGACGACGUCGGCGUUAGGACGGAUGUGGGAGGCGUUGUACGGAGUUAUUGGGCGUAAGGGGGGCGCAGGCGGUUCGGUAAUGCCGGUGUGAAAUCUCUUGGCUCAAGUGGGAGGGGUCUUCGGAUACUGGCGGACUUGAGGAGUACAGAGGUGAGUGGAAUUCUGGGUGUAGUGGUGAAAUGCGUAGAUAUCCAGAGGAACACCAGCGGCGAAGGCGGCUCACUGGGUACCACCUGACGCUGAGGCGCGAAAGCGUGGGGAGCGAACCGGAUUAGAUACCCUGGUAGUC
rnacentral:rRNA from 1 species